rnacentral:piRNA from 1 species
UCCAUCCUUGGCUUUGAUAUUUCAGGCG